rnacentral:rRNA from 1 species
UGCGUAACACGUAUGUAAUCUGCCCUUAACAGGGGGAUAGCCCGGAGUAAAUCCGGAUUAAUACCCCAUAGUAAUAUGGAUCGGCAUCGAUUUAUAUUUAAAGCUCCGGCGGUUAAGGAUGAACAUGCGACUGAUUAGCUAGUUGGUGAGGUAAUGGCUCACCAAGGCGACGAUCAGUAGGGGUACUGAGAGGUUAAACCCCCACACUGGUACUGAGACACGGACCAGACUCCUACGGGAGGCAGCAGUAAGGAAUAUUGGACAAUGGAGGCGACUCUGAUCCAGCCAUGCCGCGUGCAGGAAGAAGGCGCUAUGC